AUGAGGAAGUACUGGGGUGAUCCUGAAAAGAUGAACAAGUAUAUAUUCAUUGCUGCCAUCCUUGAUCCAAGGACCAAGGAUUCUCAUUUCUUUAAAGACAUGAUUGAAGACACCUAUGGUAGUAUAAUAGGUAAAAGAAUCUUGACAUCUUCCCACAAUGAAUUUGUCUCUCUUUUUGGAGAAUAUAGAGAAUUAUAUGGAACCAGUACUCCUAGGGAAUUAGCAUCACAAGCUCGUCCUAGUGCAAAUGCUUCUGAAAAUUAUCUAGUGAGGUCACGAUACAACCAGAAAAUAAUGAGAGUUUGCGGAGAGGGCAGCACUAGCACAAAUACCAGAACUGAAUUAGACAAGUACCUAGCUGAGGACACAGAAGAGUUGACUACUGAAUUUGACCUUCUUGAAUGGUAG
rnacentral:rRNA from 1 species